rnacentral:snoRNA from 1 species
UGGCGAUGAUGAUAAAACUAAGGCUUGUUUCUCAAAACAUUCGCAGUUGCCGCCUAAGAGCUUUCGCCCUGCCAGGCUUGAGAGCUAAUGCUGCUAAUUCCUUCCUUGGAUGUCUGAGCCA